rnacentral:rRNA from 1 species
UACGUAGGGUGCGAGCGUUGUCCGGAAUUACUGGGCGUAAAGAGCUUGUAGGUGGUUUGUCGCGUUGUUCGUGAAAUCUCACGGCUUAACUGUGAGCCUGCAGGCGAUACGGGCAGACUUGAGUACUGCAGGGGGAGACUGGAAUUCCUGGUGUAGCGGUGAAAUGCGCAGAUAUCAGGAGGAACACCGGUGGCGAAGGCGGGGUCUCUGGGCAGUAACUGACGUGAGGAACGAAAGUGUGGGUAGCAAAACAGG